rfam:Rhizopus oryzae RA 99-880 supercont3.8 genomic scaffold, whole genome shotgun sequence.
AGCAUCUUAGCGCAGUGGCAGCGCGCCGGGCUCAUAACCCGGAGGUCGGUUGAUCGAAACAACCAGAUGCUA